GGCUGGUCCGAAGGUAGUGAGUUAUCUUGCUUGACUGUUCACAGUCAGUUACAGAUUGAACUCCUUGUUCUACUACUUUCCCCCCUCCUCACUACUGCACUUGACUAGUCUAAA
rnacentral:Y_RNA from 1 species